rnacentral:rRNA from 1 species
GUGCCAGCCGCCGCGGUAAUACGUAGGGUGCUAACGUUGUUCGGAAUCACUGGGCAUAAAGAGCGCGUAGGCGGUCUGAUAAGUCAGGUGUGAAAUCCCCCGGCUCAACCGGGGAACUGCACCUGAUACUGUUGGGCUUGAGUGCAGGAGGGGAGAGCGGAAUUCCUGGUGGAGCGGUGAAAUGCGUAGAUAUCAGGAGGAACGCCGGCGGCGAAAGCGGCUCUCUGGCCUGUUACUGACGCUGAGGCGCGAAAGCUAGGGGAGCAAACGGGAUUAGAUACCCUCGUAGUCC